rnacentral:rRNA from 1 species
AUUAAGUAACAAAAGGGCACUCUGUGGAUGCCUUGGCAUUGAGAGAUGAUAAAGGACGUAGAACGUUGCGAAAAGUCAUGGGGAGGUGCGUACAAGACUGUGAUCCAUGAAUUUCCUAUGGGGAAACCCACUCGUAAUGAGUAUUAUAUAACAAAUCUAUAGGUUAUAUAAGGUGAACUUAGUGAACUGAAACAUCUUAGUAGCUAAAGGAAAAGAAAUCAACCGAGAUUCCGUUAGUAGUGGCGAGCGAAUGCGGAGGAGGCCAGUAAUUUCAAAGUAUAAACUAGAAAAGGUUUGGAAAAUCCUGCCAAAGAUGGUGAUAGCCCAGUAUAGGUAACAUACUUUGAAGUUCAUGAGUAAGACGGGACACGUGUUAUCUUGUCUGAAGAUAGGGGGACCACCCUCUAAGCCUAAAUACUACUCAAUGACCGAUAGUGCACAAGUACCGUGAGGGAAAGGUGAAAAGAACCCUGAAGAAGGGAGUGAAAAGAACCUGAAACGGGGUGCCUACUAGCAGUCGGAGCAAUUUAUAAUUUGUGACGGCGUACCUUUUGUAUCAUGGGUCAGCGACUUAAUUUAUACAGCAAGCUUAAGCCGUUAGGUGUAGGCGUAGCAAAUGCGAGUCUGAAUAGGGCAUAAAGUUGUAUGAAUUAGACCCGAAACCGGGUGAUCUAGCCAUGGGCAGGUUGAAGGUGUGGUAACACACAUUGGAGGACCGAACCCACGUAUGUUGAAAAAUACGGGGAUGACCUGUGGCUAGGGGUGAAAGGCCAAUCAAACUCGGAAAUAGCUGGUUUUUUGCGAAAUCUAUUUAGGUAGAGCGCUAUGUAUGUAUUAACAGAUUAUUCAUAGGGGGUAGAGCACUCGAUGGGCUAGGGUGGCCCAAAGCCUUACCGAACUCAACGAAACUCCGAAUACCUAUGAAUGAAGCAUAGCAGACAGACCGUGGGUGAUAAGAUCCACUGUCGAGAGGGAAACAGCCCAGAUCGUAAGCUAAGGUCCCUAAGUUAUAGCUAAGUGGGAAAGGAUGUGGAAAGGCCAAAACAACCAGGAGGUUGGCUUGGAAGCAGCCAUCCUUUGAAGAAAGCGUAAUAGCUCACUGGUCUAGAUAAGCCGUUCUGCGCCGAAGAUGUAUCGGGGCUCAAGCUAUACACCGAAGCUACGGAUAUGUCUUUAAUUAUAAAGAUAUGUGGUAGCAAAACGUUCUGUAAGUUGAUGAAGAUGAGUUGUGAAAUUCAUUGGAGAUAUCAGAAGUGAAAAUGCUGACAUGAGUAGCGAUAAACAGUGUGAAAAACACUGUCGCCGAAAGUUCAAGGGUUUCUGCGCUAGGCUAAUCCGCGCAGAGUAAGCCGGCCCCUAAGACAAGGGCGAAAGCCGUAGUUAAUGGGAACAAGAUUAAAAUUUCUUGGCCUGCUGACAAGUGACGGAGAAGGUAGACUAUAUAAACUGAAAGGAUUGUUUAUGUUUUUGACUUCUUCCUGGAAAAAACUUCAGCAAGAAAGACCGUACCCUAAACCGACACAGGUGAACACGUAGAGUAUACGAAGGCGCUUGAGAGAACAAUGUUGAAGGAACUCGGCAAAAUGACCCCGUAACUUCGGGAGAAGGGGUGCCUACUUCUGGGCAACCAGUUGUAGGUGGCACAGAGCAGGGGGUAGCGACUGUUUACUAAAAACACAGGACUCUGCAAAAUCGUAAGAUGAGGUAUAGGGUCUGACACCUGCCCGGUGCUGGACAGUUAAGAGGAGAGGUGAAAGCUUCAAAUCGAAGCUCCAGUAAACGGCGGCCGUAACCAUAACGGUCCUAAGGUAGCGAAAUUCCUUGUCGGGUAAGUUCCGACCUGCAYGAAUGGUGUAACGACUUCCCCACUGUCUCCAACAUUGACUCAGUGAAAUUGAAUUCUCCGUGAAGAUGCGGAGUACCAGCGGCUAGACGGAAAGACCCCGUGCACCUUUACUACAGCUUUACAUUGCUGCUAGGAAUUGAAUGUAUAGGAUAGGUGGGAGCUUAGGAAACCUUGACGCCAGUUAAGGUGGAGGCAUCCUUGAAAUACCACCCUUUUAAUUUCUCGUAGCUAACCAUGGUCCGUUUAUCCGGGCCUGGGACCCUGUAUGGUUGGUAGUUUGACUGGGGCGGUCGCCUCCUAAAGAGUAACGGAGGCGCGCGAUGGUGGGCUCAAGCUGGUCGGAAACCAGCUGUAGAGCGUAAUGGUAUAAGCCCGCCUGACUGUGAGACUUACAAGUCGAACAGAGACGAAAGUCGGUCAUAGUGAUCCGGUGGUCCUGAGUGGAAAGGCCAUCGCUAACGGAUAAAAGGUACGCCGGGGAUAACAGGCUGAUGACUCCCAAGAGCUCCUAUCGACGGAGUCGUUUGGCACCUCGAUGUCGGCUCAUCACAUCCUGGAGCUGAAAAAGGUUCCAAGGGUUCGGCUGUUCGCCGAUUAAAGUGGUACGUGAGCUGGGUUUAGAACGUCGUGAGACAGUUCGGUCCCUAUCUACCGUUGGUGUCGGAGAAUUGAGAGAAUCUUACCCUAGUACGAGAGGACCGGGACGGAUAUACCUCUAGUGUACCGGUUGUCGCGCCAGCGGCACCGCCGGGUAGCUACGUAUAGAAAGAAUAACCGCUGAAAGCAUAUAAGCGGGAAUUCCAUCUCAAAAUAGAUUCUCCUUUGAGAGCUGUGGUAGACCACCACGUAGAUAGGCUAGAUGUGAAUUAGCUAACUAGUACUAAGGAAGAAUAAUAAAUAC